rnacentral:tRNA from 7 species
GCGACAGUAGUUCAGUGGUAGAAUGUCUGCUUCCCAAGCAGAAGGUCGCCGGUUCGAUUCCGGUCUGUCGCU